CGAACGCUGGCGGCAGGCCUAACACAUGCAAGUCGAGCGCGCCCUUCGGGGUGAGCGGCGGACGGGUUAGUAACGCGUGGGAACGUACCCUUUGGUAGGGAAUAGCCACUGGAAACGGUGAGUAAUACCCUAUGAGCCCUUCGGGGGAAAGAUUUUAUCGCCAAAGGAUCGGCCCGCGUUAGAUUAGGUAGUUGGUGGGGUAAUGGCCUACCAAGCCUACGAUCUAUAGCUGGUUUUAGAGGAUGAUCAGCAACACUGGGACUGAGACACGGCCCAGACUCCUACGGGAGGCAGCAGUGGGGAAUCUUGGACAAUGGGGGCAACCCUGAUCCCAGCCAUGCCGCGUGAGUGAAGAAGGCCUUAGGGUCGUAAAGCUCUUUCGCCUGUGAAGAUAAUGACGGUAGCAGGUAAAGAAACCCCGGCUAACUCCGUGCCAGCAGCCGC
rnacentral:rRNA from 1 species